UUUUAUGGAGAGUUUGAUCCUGGCUCAGAGUGAACGCUGGCGGCGUGCCUAAUACAUGCAAGUCGAACGAUGAAGCUUCUAGCUUGCUAGAAGUGGAUUAGUGGCGCACGGGUGAGUAAGGUAUAGUUAAUCUGCCCUACACAAGAGGACAACAGUUGGAAACGACUGCUAAUACUCUAUACUCCUGCUUAACACAAGUUGAGUAGGGAAAGUUUUUCGGUGUAGGAUGAGACUAUAUAGUAUCAGCUAGUUGGUAAGGUAAUGGCUUACCAAGGCUAUGACGCUUAACUGGUCUGAGAGGAUGAUCAGUCACACUGGAACUGAGACACGGUCCAGACUCCUACGGGAGGCAGCAGUAGGGAAUAUUG
rnacentral:rRNA from 1 species